GACGAACGCUGGCGGCGUGCUUAACACAUGCAAGUCGAACGGAAAGGCGCUGCUUUUGUGGGGCGCUCGAGUGGCGAACGGGGGAGUAACACGUGAGUAACCCGCCCUUAACUUUGGGAUAACUUCAGGAAACUGCGGAUAAUACCGGAUAGGAGCUCUUGCUGCAUGGGGGUGGUUGGAAAGUUUCGGCGGUUGGGGAUGGACUCGCGGCUUAGCAGCUUGUUGGUGGGGUAGUGGCUUACCAAGGAUUCGACGGGUAGCCAGCCUGAGAGGGUGACCGGCCACAUUGGGACUGAGGUACGGCCCAGACGGAUACGGGAGGAAGGAGUGAGGAAUAGAGCGAGAAGGGCGGAGGCAUGAAGGAGCAACGCCGGGUGCGAGAUGACGGCUUUCGGGUUGUAAACAGCUUUCGCGUGUGACGAAGCGUGAGGAAGGGACAUGGGUAAAGAAGCACCGCUAAAUUACGU
rnacentral:rRNA from 1 species